UACGUAGGGGGCAAGCGUUGUCCGGAAUCAUUGGGCGUAAAGAGCGUGUAGGCGGCCCGGUAAGUCCGCUGUGAAAGUCCAGGCUCAACCCUGGGAUGCCGGUGGAUACUGUCGGGCUCGAGUCCGGAAGAGGAGUGUGGAAUUCCGUGGUGUAGCGGUGAAAUGCGCAGAUAUCAGGAGGAACACCGAUGGCGAAGGCAGGUCUCUGGGCCAUAACUGACGCUGAGAAGCGAAAGCAUGGGGAGCGAACAGG
rnacentral:rRNA from 1 species